GACGAACGCUGGCGGCGUGCUUAACACAUGCAAGUCGAGCGGUAAGGCCCUUUCGGGGGUACACGAGCGGCGAACGGGUGAGUAACACGUGGGUGACCUGCCCUCAGCUCUGGGAUAAGCCUGGGAAACCGGGUCUAAUACCGGAUAUGACUCCAUGACGCAUGUUGUGGGGUGGAAAGCCUUGUGCGGCUGAGGAUGGGCCCGCGGCCUAUCAGCUUGUUGGUGGGGUGAUGGCCUACCAAGGCGACGACGGGUAGCCGGCCUGAGAGGGCGACCGGCCACACUGGGACUGAGACACGGCCCAGACUCCUACGGGAGGCAGCAGUGGGGAAUCUUGCGCAA
rnacentral:rRNA from 1 species